AGAUGUGAUUCUGACAUCUGUCACCCUAUUGAUUGUAGGACUAAUCCUCCUGAGCUGGCUGACAAGGUGGGUGUCUUACCCCAUUCUGUGUUCCUUGCAGAAACCAGGUGCUCAGAGAAUGUGUUUUCCAGGUGGGAACUGUUCCUUCAGUCAGGGGUGUAUAAGUUGUUUCUCUCUCUUGUUACAAUCUCCAAACAAACUAUCAAGGUUGACUUUAUUACACAUUCCACUGUAAGAAACAUCUUUUUGCAUAUAGCUUUUUCCACAUUUGGGAUUUAUUUUCUUA
rfam:Gorilla gorilla gorilla genomic chromosome, chr14, whole genome shotgun sequence